GACGAACGCUGGCGGCGUGCCUAAUACAUGCAAGUCGAACGCAGUGGGGACGGGUGAGUAACACGUGGGUAACCUCCCAUCAGAGGGGAUAACACUUGGAAACAGGUGCUAAACAGAUAUUGAUGGAUGGACCCGCGGUGCAUUAGCUAGGUGGUGAGGUAACGGCUCACCAAGGCCACGAUGCAUAGGCGACCUGAAGGGAUGAUCAGCCACACGGGGACUGAGACACGGCCACGACUCCUACGGGAGGCAGCAGUGGGGAAUAUUGCACAAUGGGCGCAAGCCUGAUGCAGCCAUGCCGCGUGUAUGAAGCAGGCCUUAGGGUGGUAAAGUACUUUCAGCGGGGAGGCGUUACCCGCAGAAGAAGCCCCGGCUAACUCCGUGCCAGCAGCCGCGGUAAUUC
rnacentral:rRNA from 1 species